rnacentral:misc_RNA from 1 species
AACGCAUCUUGCGCUCCUUGGAAUUCCGAGGAGCAUGCCUGUUUGAGUGUCAUUAAACCUUCAAACCUCGCGACAGCGAGGGCUUGGAUUGUGGAGUGUGCUGGGAAAAAUAUGGGGGAGGCCCUUGCUUUGGGUCCUCUUCUUCCAGCUCCUCUAAAAUGUAUUAGCAAAAAAAAACCUUGCCUCCAACUGCUCGUAAAGUGCUUUUGGCUUGAUAAUCUAUGUCAACUGCUUGAGCUGGUGUAAGGCCCUUUUCUGCUCACAAAAACACUUUUUUUUAAUAAUAAUCAUUUGACCUCAAAUCAGGUAGGACUACCCGCUGAACUUAA